AGGGCUUAGCCCACCUGUGAACAGAGUCCAGCCGCGCCGUGUUCACAGUGGCUAAGUUCCGC
rnacentral:pre_miRNA from 1 species